CGCCUGAUCCCAUCCCGAACUCAGAAGCUAAGCUCUUUUGCGCCGAUGGUACUGUAGCGUUCGCUACGGGAGAGUAGGUCGAUGCCAGGA
rnacentral:rRNA from 1 species